AACGAACGCUGGCGGCAUUCCUAACACAUGCAAGUCGAACGAGACCUUCGGGUCUAGUGUCGCACGGGUGCGUAACGCGUGGGAAUCUGCCCUUGGGUUCGGUAUAAUUGUGAGAAAUUACUUCUAAUACCGGAUGAUGUCUUCGGACCAAAGAUUUAUCGCCCAGGGAUGAGCCCGCGUAGGAUUAGCUAGUUGGUGGGGUAAUGGCCUACCAAGGCGACGAUCCUUAGCUUGUCUGAGAGGAUGAUCAGCCACACUGGGACUGAGACACGGCCCAGACUCCUACGGGAGGAAGCAGUGGGGAAUAUUGGACAAUGGGCGCAAGCCUGAGCCAGAAAUGCCGCGUGAGUGAUGAAGGCCUGAGGGUUGUAAAGCUCUUUUAACCGGGAUGAUAAUGACAGUACAGGGAGAGUAAGAGCCGGCUAACUCCGUG
rnacentral:rRNA from 1 species